rnacentral:ncRNA from 1 species
CCGCAUACUGUAACUAAAGACUGAAAGCGUGGGUGACGAUAGCAUCGGAUCGUCUAAGGUCAAAAAUCGCGGUUAUAUACGGU